rnacentral:lncRNA from 10 species
CCCCUUCCUACCCAUCCUUUAAUUUCAGACUUGAGCUCCACCCCAUUCAUGGAGCACAGCGAGCUCUUUGCAAUGAAUUUCCUUGUAUUUUGAGACAAUCAAGCGGCAAGUCCAAGUUCUGCGAUGUCACACCACCAGCAUCUCAGGAGCCUCAGAAUAGAGGGAAGCGUUUUUCCUUUGUGAUAAUGCUGCCCUCUACUGGACAUCAGGAAAUUCACAGAUGCCCAGUGACGAGCCUCAGAGGCACUUUCCCAAAGACAGGCUCUGCAGGUACCAGGGUAUAAGCGGACACCUUUCUACACAUCUGGCAGGAGACUGGACACGUAUUCUACAUAUUGCUCUUUUUAUUAAAAUUGAUCUCAUAUAUAGGACUUGUCACUUAUCAAACUGCCAUUUGUUGUUCUAUGAGCAUGUAAUAUACAAAAACAUUUAUAUGCAAUCAUAUAUAAAUAUAUAAUGUAUAUGUCAUAUUUCCGAUCUUUUGCUGGUAAAAGUAAUAUUUUAGUGUGCAUAUAUACUUUUGCACAUGUGGAAGUAUAAUUACACAAAAACACUAGAAGUAGAAUUGCCAGGCUAAAAAC